GACGAACGCUGGCGGCGUGCUUAACACAUGCAAGUCGAACGGAAAGGCCCUGCUUUUGUGGGGUGCUCGAGUGGCGAAAGGGUGAGUAACACGUGAGUAACCUGCCCUUGACUUUGGGAUAACUUCAGGAAACUGGGGCUAAUACCGGAUAGGAGCUCCUGCUGCAUGGUGGGGGUUGGAAAGUUUCGGCGGUUGGGGAUGGACUCGCGGCUUAUCAGCUUGUUGGUGGGGUAGUGGCUUACCAAGGCUUUGACGGGUAGCCGGCCUGAGAGGGUGACCGGCCACAUUGGGACUGAGAUACGGCCCAGACUCCUACGGGAGGCAGCAGUGGGGAAUAUUGCACAAUGGGCGGAAGCCUGAUGCAGCAACGCCGCGUGCGGGAUGACGGCCUUAGGGUUGUAAACCGCUUUCGCCUGUGACGAAGAGUGAGUGACGGUAAUGGGUAAAGAAGCACCGGCUAACUACGUG
rnacentral:rRNA from 1 species